AGGUUACUGCUAUCGAGGUUCGACUAAGCCAUGCGAGUCGAAUGUAGCAAUACAUGGCGAACUGCUCAGUAACACGUGGACAACCUGCCCUUAGGACGGGGAUAAACCCGGGAAACUGGGUAUAAUACCCGAUAGGUCUCGAUUGCUGGAAUGCAUCGAGAUUUAAAGCUCCGGCGCCUAAGGAUGGGUCUGCGGCCUAUCAGGUAGUAGUGGGUGUAGCGUACCUACUAGUCUACGACGGGUACGGGUUGUGAGAGCAAGAGCCCGGAGAUGGAUUCUGAGACACGAAUCCAGGCCCUACGGGGUGCAGCAGGCGCGAAAACUUUACAAUGCUGGCAACAGCGAUAAGGGAACCUCGAGUGCCAGGUUACAAAUCUGGCUGUCGAGAUGCCUAAAAAGCAUUUCAUAGCAAGGGCCGGGCAAGACCGGUGCCAGCCGCCGCGGUAACACCGGCGGCUCGAGUGGUAACCGUUAUUAUUGGGUCUAAAGGGUCUGUAGCCGGCCGGAUAAGUCUCUUGAGAAAUCUGGCAGCUUAACUGUCAGGCUUUCAGGAGAUACUGUCUGGCUCGAGGCCGGGAGAGGUGAGAGGUACUUCAGGGGUAGGAGUGAAAUCCUGUAAUCCCGGUGGGACUACCUAUGGCGAAGGCAUCUCACCAGAACGGGUCCGACAGUGAGGGACGAAAGCUGGGGGAGCAAACCGCAUUAGAUACCCGGGUAGUCCCAGCUGUAAACUAUGUGCGUUAGGUGUGUCAGUGACCACGUGUCACUGAGGUGCCGAAGGGAAACCGUGAAACGCACCGCCUGGGGAGUACGGUCGCAAGGCUGAAACUUAAAGGAAUUGGCGGGGGAGCACCACAACGGGUGGAGCCUGCGGUUUAAUCGGACUCAACGCCGGGAAUCUCACCGGAUAAGACAGCUGAAUGAUAGUCGGGAUGAAGACUCUACUUGACUAGCUGAGAGGAGGUGCAUGGCCGUCGUCAGUUCGUACUGUGAAGCAUCCUGUUUAGUCAGGCAACGAGCGAGACCCACGCGAGCAGUUGCCAGCUUGACCUUUGGGUUGAUGGGGACACUGCUCGGACCGCCUCUGCUAAAGGGGAGGAAGGACUGGGCAACGGUAGGUCAGCAUGCCCCGAAUUAUCCGGGCUACACGCGGGCUACAAUGGACAGGACAAUGGGUUUCGACACCGAGAGGUGAGGAUAAUCUCCUAAACCUGUCCCAAGUUCGGAUUGCGGGUUGUAACUCACCCGCAUGAAGCUGGAAUCCGUAGUAAUCGCGUUUCAACAUACCGCGGUGAAUAUGUCCCUGCUCCU
rnacentral:rRNA from 1 species